CCUACGGGAGGCAGCAGUGAGGAAUAUUGGUCAAUGGACGAGAGUCUGAACCAGCCAAGUAGCGUGAAGGAUGACCGCCCUAUGGGUUGUAAACUUCUUUUAUAUGGGAAUAAAAUGUUCCACGUGUGGGAUUUUGUAUGUACCAUAUGAAUAAGGAUCGGCUAACUCCGUGCCAGCAGCCGCGGUAAUACGGAGGAUCCGAGCGUUAUCCGGAUUUAUUGGGUUUAAAGGGAGCGUAGGUGGAUUGUUAAGUCAGUUGUGAAAGUUUGCGGCUCAACCGUAAAAUUGCAGUUGAAACUGGCAGUCGUGAGUACAGUAGAGGUGGGCGGAAUGCGUGGUGUAGCGGUGAAAUGCUUAGAUAUCACGAAGAACUCCGAUUGCGAAGGCAGCUCACUGGACUGCAACUGACACUGAGGCUCGAAAGUGUGGGUAUCAAACAGGAUUAGAUACCCUUGUAGUC
rnacentral:rRNA from 1 species